rnacentral:lncRNA from 1 species
GAGUUCAAGACCUUCGCUCAUUGAAUGUAGCUUGCAUCACUCAACAAAUCUGGAAUAUUCUUCUUAUUUCAGAUUCCCUCUGGAUUGUCUGGAUUCGCCAGCAUCAGGUGAAGGAUGACUCUUUCUGGGAUUGGAGUGAUUUGGUGCAGAAAGCUGUUCAACAGUUCUUUUUGGUAAAUUCUUCUGCUACCUGCUUUAGAAGGCUGGUGCGGAGAGCGAUUGUCAAUAAUUUAUGAUACGAGAGAUGUCGAUGAAACACUGG